GGCGGGGUGGUUACUGGUUAGCAUACCCGACCGGAUAUCGGGAGACCCGGAGUUCAAAUCCCGGUUCCGCCA
rnacentral:tRNA from 1 species